rnacentral:rRNA from 1 species
GACAGAGGUGCCAAGCGUUGGGCGGAAUCACUGGGCUUAAAGCGUGUGUAGGCGGAGUCGUUAAGUGCCUUGUGAAAUCCCAUGGCUUAACCAUGGAACUGCUCGGGCAUACCUGGCGGUCUUGAGCCAUCUAGGGCUACCGGAACAAAUGGUGGAGCGGUGAAAUGCGUAGAUAUCAUUUGGAACGCCAAUGGUGAAAACAGGUAGCUGGGGAUGUGCUGACGCUGAGACACGAAAGCCAGGGGAGCGAACGGG